CUCUUCCUCACAGGUUAGUUAAUGACAGACAGUCAGUGAGUGUGUGUGUGUCCAACUCUUCCUCACAGGUUAGUUAAUGACAGACAGUCAGUGAGUGUGUCUGUGUCCAACUCUUCCUCACAGGUUAGUUAAUGACAGACAGUCAGUGAGUGUGUCUGUGUCCAACUCUUCCUCACAGGUUAGUUAAUGACAGACAGUCAGUGAGUGUGUCUGUGUCCAACUCUUCCUCACAGGUUAGUUAAUGACAGACAGUCAGUGAGUGUGUCUGUGUCCAACUCUUCCUCACAGGUUAGUUAAUGACAGACAGUCAGUGAGUGUGUGUGUGUCCAACUCUUCCUCACAGGUUAGUUAAUGACAGACAGUCAGUGAGUGUGUGUGUGUCCAACUCUUCCUCACAGGUUAGUUAAUGACAGACAGUCAGUGAGUGUGUCUGUGUCCAACUCUUCCUCACAGGUUAGUUAAUGACAGACAGUCAGUGAGUGUGUCUGUGUCCAACUCUUCCUCACAGGUUAGUUAAUGACAGACAGUCAGUGAGUGUGUGUGUGUCCAACUCUUCCUCACAGGUUAGUUAAUGACAGACAGUCAGUGAGUGUGUGUGUGUCCAACUCUUCCUCACAGGUUAGUUAAUGACAGACAGUCAGUGAGUGUGUCUGUGUCCAACUCUUCCUCACAGGUUAGUUAAUGACAGACAGUCAGUGAGUGUGUGUGUGUCCAACUCUUCCUCACAGGUUAGUUAAUGACAGACAGUCAGUGAGUGUGUGUGUGUCCAACUCUUCCUCACAGGUUAGUUAAUGACAGACAGUCAGUGAGUGUGUGUGUGUCCAACUCUUCCUCACAGGUUAGUUAAUGACAGACAGUCAGUGAGUGUGUCUGUGUCCAACUCUUCCUCACAGGUUAGUUAAUGAUGUUACUGAGUCAAUGUGAGCAGAUUGUGUCUGUAGACUGAAGAGAAUCAGAGUCUCACUGAUGGUGGAAAUAAAGGUUUUACUUCCUUAAAACA